rnacentral:rRNA from 1 species
AGCGAACGCUGGCGGCAGGCUUAACACAUGCAAGUCGAGCGGGCGUAGCAAUACGUCAGCGGCAGACGGGUGAGUAACGCGUGGGAACAUACCUUUUGGUUCGGAACAACUGAGGGAAACUUCAGCUAAUACCGGAUAAGCCUUUACGGGGAAAGAUUUAUCGCCGAAAGAUUGGCCCGCGUCUGAUUAGCUUGUUGGUGAGGUAACGGCUCACCAAGGCGACGAUCAGAGCUGGUCUGAGAGGAUGAUCAGCCACAUUGGGACUGAGACACGGCCCAAACUCCUACGGGAGGCAGCAGUGGGGAAUAUUGGACAAUGGGCGCAAGCCUGAUCCAGCCAUGCCGCGUGAGUGAUGAAGGCCCUAGGGUGUAAAGCUCUUUUGUGCGGGAAGAUAAUGACGGUACCGCAAGAAUAAGCCCCGGCUAACUUCGUGCCAGCAGCCGCGGUAAG